UCGCGUAUAGAAGGGUAUCUAAACAGUCUCCUUCGUUGCGACUUCGCUUCUUAGUGACGAUUGUUUAUUUCGUUCGACGGAGCGGCGCCGCCCUAUCUCUCUCUCUCUCUCUCUCUCUCUCUGUCUAUCUCAUUCGUCGGUAAGACUCCUAAGCUUAUAAUUUCGACUGUAGUUCCAAACCGGAGGUCCGGAGGAGAAGAGACCUAGGGUUUAUUUUUUUCUAUCGGCGUAUCUCUAUUAAACUUUCGAUUUCUAGGGUUUCGCUCCUUCUCGAUCUCCGUUUCUUCUAUAUGCGAUUCGGUCACGAAAUAUUUUUCUUCAUAUCUUCAUAUUUUGAAUUUGUUGUUGUUCUUAAUCGAAAUAUUGCAUGCUUGAUUGUUUGAAUUACGGUGUUUCGAGUCGAUUCCCGUUAACCUAGGGUUUCUAAGUUGGAAAGAAGAAGAUCAAGUGGCACUGUCGCCCCCAGGGUUCUGAUUAGGGCUUUAUUCUUGAUUAUUUUGGGUUUUACUCUGCGGAACUAGGAGUCUCCCUUGCCUUGCAUCUUGUUGCUAAUUUUGACUCAAGACACAAUUCGAGUAUAUGGCGGCAGGAAGACAUGGCGGCUAUCGUGAUAAUGAAUUCAGAGAACGCGAGUCAGAUCUCGAGGUUUCCAGGAGAAGGGAAUUUUAUUAUUCCAAGGAAGAAUACGAUCGCUAUCGCAGUCGAGACCUUGAACGAGGUAAAGAGCGGGAUGCCAGAGAUAGGAUUAGGGUUAGACAGAAGGAUAUUAAGGAGAGAGAGGUGACAAAUGGUGGCUACCAUUCUUCUUCCAGCACGAGCAAUUCAGGAAGCAGUGAUAGUGGCCGCAGGCGAGGUGGGUAUCCCGGUAGAAUGGCAGAACGUGAACCAGGUGAGCUAUCGAGUGGAAGUGGAUCUGAUGAUGCCAUCGCUUCUGAAUCACGGGUUAAAGAUUCUGAAGUUUCAAAACGUGAAAAUGGAGCGAGCUCACCCCCUAGUAAGAAAAGGAAGUUCUCUCCAAUUGUAUGGGACAGAGAAGAUAGGGAUGUGAGCAAUAUGCCUAAAAACAGAAUUGCUUCAACAAGCACAACACUUCCUCCUCCUCCUCCAUUGCCUAAACAUUUUCGCCAGUCACCAAAUGUUAUUCCAGAUGGAGGUAUACAGAUUUCUCCUGCCAAACCUAACCAACUUGAGAACAAGCUGUCAUCACCGGUCAAAGCCAUGAUAGCACCGGGGUCAGUAGGUUCUGCUGUAUCUGAGUCUCCAGCAGGUAUAUCCUCCUCAUCGCCACAGGUGCAGCAGUGGAGCAAUGAUCAAGAACCAGGGCAGCUGGAAGAAGAUGACUUUGUUCCAACGAGGAAUAUAUCGGCCUCACGAUGGGCAGAUGAGAUUAAUUCUCCCAGGGAUGAGGGUGAAAUUUCUGAUGAUGAAGACAUGCUUAAAGGGAGGAAGAAGAAUGUUCUACCUGGAUCAGUGGAUACUAGAUUAAACACUAAAACAUUAACUCCAGAACAUGGGAAACUUGCAAGAGAAGGAUCUGAAGGAGCUCGCACUAGAUCUUCUGAAUCAGAUGGAGUAGGCCAUGCAAGACUCGCCAUUGGUGAUGAAAACCCUGAAAUGGAGUUGGACAAGAAUGAUAUUAUGGAGGUUGAUGAGGAUUCUGAUAACAAGAGUACUAGUGUUCACCAGUCGGAUACAGAUUCUGAUAGGGAGAAUGAUUACCGUAGUACACCAGAGCCUGUUGUACCACCCCAGAGAAAUAUAAACAUGCUGCAGGGAUGUAGAAGUGUUGAUGAAUUUGAGAGACUCAACAAGAUAGAUGAAGGUACUUAUGGUGUUGUUUAUAGGGCCAGAGAUAAGAAGACAGGAGAGAUUGUAGCUUUGAAAAAGGUGAAGAUGGAGAAAGAAAGAGAAGGUUUUCCUUUAACCUCUCUUAGGGAAAUAAAUAUUCUCCUAUCAUUUCAUCACCCAUCAAUUGUGGAUGUCAAGGAAGUAGUUGUGGGGAGUAACCUUGACAGUAUUUUCAUGGUUAUGGAGUAUAUGGAACAUGACCUCAAAGGACUGAUGGAGACCAUGAAACAGCCUUUCAGUCAAAGUGAAGUUAAAUGUCUAAUGCUACAGCUUUUAGAGGGUGUCAAGUACCUGCAUGAUAAUUGGGUGCUUCAUAGGGAUUUGAAGACUUCAAAUCUUCUUUUGAACAAUCGUGGUGAGUUGAAGAUCUGUGAUUUUGGGUUGUCCCGCCAGUAUGGUAGUCCGUUGAAACCCUAUACUCAUUUGGUGGUUACUCUAUGGUACAGGGCGCCCGAACUACUAUUAGGGGCAAAACAAUAUUCAACAGCAAUUGACAUGUGGUCAUUGGGUUGUAUUAUGGCUGAACUUCUAUCUAAAGAGCCACUAUUUAAUGGGAAAUCUGAAUUUGACCAGCUUGACAAGAUUUUUAGAACCCUUGGCACACCUAAUGAAACUAUAUGGCCGGGAUUUUCAAAGUUGCCUGGAGUGAAGGUUAACUUCGUUAAACAUCAGCUUCCAGCUUUCAGUGAUUCUGGUACAAUCUACUUCGCAAGAAAUUUCCAGCCACAUCUUUCACUGGGUCUCCAAUUCUAUCUGAUUCUGGGUUUGACUUGUUGAACAAACUUCUAACUUACGACCCUGAGAAGAGGAUAACUGCAGAAGCUGCUCUUAAUCAUGAGUGGUUCCGUGAAGUUCCUCUCCCUAAAUCGAAGGACUUCAUGCCAACGUUUCCUGCUCAGCAUGCUCAGGAUAGGCGUCUACGAAGAAUAAUGAAAAGCCCUGACCCACUAGAAGAACAACGAAGAAAGGAGUUGCAGCAAGGGGAAUUAGGCACUGGUGGCUUGUUUUGCUGAAGAAAUAAUUGGGUGUACAACGACAUUCGGACCCCAAUUCUCAGGUUUUAACUUGCAUUUCACAGUUGGUGUAUGCAGUUGAGGUGAGAGACAUGUAUUGCAUGUGAAGUUGCGAAACCUCUGUUUGUGAGGUGAUCAUUGAUGCUGUUGUUUAGCAGGCACCCCUGAUGAAUUGGGUGGAGAAAUAUAUUCUUUUCUUUUUCCCGUCAGACCAAAUUGUCGCAGGGUAUUUUUUUGGUCCUCGAGCAUUGAUGAUCAUAAAAGGUGCCUCCUGUGGCCUGCUUGGAUCGCAAGAGACGAUUGGUUUGAAGCGGAGGGAUGUUCCUUUUCAUACCUGAAGAAAUUGACCAAAAACAUUCCACUUCAAAAGUAUCAGAGCAAGCAGGUUGAGGAAGAUUUCUGUCAUUCAGUUCUUUAUAGAACUUCAGUUGUGUUUUGGUACUGCAGAAUUGAUAUUUUUUCAGAUGUGGCUCAAUUGAGCAACAUUUGUACCGUCUCCAUAAAGUACUGUUGAAUAGACUUGGGAUUGAUGGUUGGUUUGGAUAAGAAAGGAAAAUGGAUGGGGACACGUAACCUUUGUGAUGUCGCAAAAGUGAGUGAUGGACAUGGGCCUUCAACCCCACGUUUGAAGGUUUUAUUAUAUCGUGCAGUCCAGAUGCUUUGCCGAUGUGUGAUCGAAGUACUUUAACAGGCAUGUUUCUUCAUUGAAAUAUGGCUUUUAUGCCUAACCGUUGUACCUCUCAUCGUUAUGAUUUCUUCUGAGAAAUAAUCAUAUCGAGUUUUGGUGAUGAAAGAAAUAAGUGAGAACAAUAAGAGAGUCGGUUUCAACUUUUGCAUUCUCUGGCCUCAGCCCAAAGAAUUUAUUUAC